UACGGAGGGUGCAAGCGUUAAUCGGAAUUAUUGGGCGUAAAGCGCGCGCAGGCGGUCCCUUAAGUCUGAUGUGAAAGCCCACGGCUCAACCGUGGAGGGUCAUUGGAAACUGGGGGACUUGAGUACAGAAGAGGAAAGCGGAAUUCCACGUGUAGCGGUGAAAUGCGUAGAGAUGUGGAGGAACACCAGUGGCGAAGGCGGCUUUCUGGUCUGUAACUGACGCUGAGGCGCGAAAGCGUGGGGAGCAAACAGG
rnacentral:rRNA from 1 species